rnacentral:rRNA from 1 species
AUGGUUUUAUCAUCGGACACCAGCAAGUGGCAGAUUUUCCCAUGGGUAGACAUUGAUGGGCUCUGGCCUCAAACUGCUAAGCUGGUGAAUGGCUGCAUCUAUUGGACCAUUGGGAUGAAUGAUGCCCGUGUGCUUAACACUGCUACAAUGCAAUUCUCUCGGAUGGAUAAGCCGCCGCGCAGGAGAGGGAAUGAGAUAUUGACGGCUGGUAAGACCAAGGAUGGAAGACUCUGUGUGGUCUGCGCACCUUUGGGGCCACUGACAUUCGAAUCCGUGCUUGCUGUUUGGAUUCGGAGAGCCGAUGACGAUGGCGUCGAGAGGUGGAUGUUGGAUAAGUCACUCCCGUUGCAGGAGAUAGCUGGAAUCGUUCGGUGCGAAUUCAAGGAAGACAAUGUUAAAUAUCAAGUGACUGUUAGGACGAUUAUCGAUGGAUUUGUGUACUUCUCUGCUUAUUGUGGGGUGUGGCAGCAUCAUCAUUCGACACUCUGGCUCCUAUCCUUCUGCUUGGAAACAGCGGCGCUGAACAAGCUUGGGCGUAUCCUUAGUGGUGUUUCCUAUCCCUACAUCAUGCCGUGGCCUUGUUCUUUGGUUGGUACACAGCAAGCAAACCAGCUUAUCCAGUUAAAGACACACAAUUCUCUUCUGUGA